GAUCCUGGCUCAGAAUCAACGCUGGCGGCGUGCCUAACACAUGCAAGUCGAACGAGAAAGGGUAGCAAUACCUGAGUAAAGUGGCGCACGGGUGAGUAACACGUGACUAACCUACCUUUUAGUGGGGGAUAACCUAGGGAAACCUGGGCUAAUACCGCAUAACACUUACGAGUCAAAGCAGCAAUGCGCUGAAAGAGGGGGUCGCGGUCGAUUAGUUAGUUGGCAGGGUAAUGGCCUACCAAGACUGUGAUCGAUAUCCGGCCUGAGAGGGCGCACGGACACACUGGAACUGAAACACGGUCCAGACUCCUACGGGAGGCAGCAGUGGGGAAUUUUGCGCAAUGGGGGAAACCCUGACGCAGCAACGCCGCGUGGAGGAUGAAGUCCCUUGGGACGUAAACUCCUUUCGAUCGGGACGAUAAUGACGGUACCGGAAGAAGAAGCCCCGGCUAACUUCGUGCCAGCAGCCGCGGUAAUACGAGGGGGGCAAGCGUUGUUCGGAAUUAUUGGGCGUAAAGGGUGCGUAGGUGGUUCGGCAAGUCUUGUGUGAAAUCUUCAGGCUCAACUUGAAGUCUGCACAAGAAACUGCCGGGCUUGAGUAUGGGAGAGGUGAGUGGAAUUUCCGGUGUAGCGGUGAAAUGCGUAGAUAUCGGAAGGAACACCUGUGGCGAAAGCGGCUCACUGGACCAU
rnacentral:rRNA from 1 species